GUGGGGAAUAUUGGACAAUGGGGGAAACCCUGAUCCAGCAAUGCCGCGUGAGUGAUGAAGGCCUUAGGGUUGUAAAGCUCUUUCGCCUGAGACGAUGAUGACGGUAUCAGGAGAAGAAGCCCCGGCUAAUUCCGUGCCAGCAGCCGCGGUAAUACGGAAGGGGCUAGCGUUGUUCGGAAUUACUGGGCGUAAAGCGCGUGCAGGCGGUCGGACAAGUGAGGCGUGAAAGCCCUGGGCUCAACCUGGGAACUGCGCUUCAGACUGUUCGGCUUGAGUUCGGGAGAGGGUGGUGGAAUUCCCAGUGUAGAGGUGAAAUUCGUAGAUAUUGGGAGGAACACCGGUGGCGAAGGCGGCCGCCUGGCCCGUAACUGACGCUAUAGCGCGAAAGCGUGGGGAGCAAACAGGAUUAGAAACCCGAGUAGUCC
rnacentral:rRNA from 1 species